UAAACAGAGGCCUCAAAUUCCUUCUUUAAGGCCUGUGUAUAUCACCCGAAAACUAAAUUCUCUUUUGCGUCCAUUUGUCUGUGAAUGGCAUGCAGUAAUUACUUGACAUCCAUCCAGACGUGUGGGAGCCUUUCUCUAAUUGAGAUGAAUUUUUUUCUUCCUUAAUCAGACACGACUGAAAGUUCAUGGCUUUGGGAUGCAGCAACGCAAAGCGAGGAGAUGGCUCUCUUUCUCUCGGCUUGCAGAGGCCAACUCUCCCCUCCCUCAAAGCCCAUCGGUGCCAUGUGGUGCCCUCAGAGAACAAGGUGGCGGUGGCAGUGUGCGUGUGUGAAGGGGAGAGAAAGAAGGGAAGCUCCUCCCUGGGACGACCCUCUCAACUACUCCAGGCCACCCUGUCGCAGCUUAUAGGGUUCUCGAUGCCAGGAAGCCAUUUUGAUGGAGUCAAAUGCCGUUUUGUAAGAUGGCCGCGUUGACAUGAGAUUCUUAUGAUGGAGAAUUUCAAGAACUUGGAAAACAAUUUAUUGGUCGAGUUUACUACAGACGAAGGCACACCUGCUUUUCCUGUUUCACAUGGACCUGAUUUUUAAAGUGGCUGUGUUUGGGAUGCCCUACACAGAGAGAACUUUCUUGAGACUCCCAGCUUUGCAUAUUCUGGAUUGCCUAGUGAGAUGGGGAAACUGAACCAGAAAGUCCCUCUCUCACCAUGUAAAUCAAGCAGUGUUCAUUCUCCAUCUUUCUAGGGUCUACCCUGCCUUGGAUCAAACAUGGAAACUAGAAGCUUCCCCUGAAUGCUUUGAACAGCUGGAUGCUGAAAGAGAAGUGUCUGAAUUGUGAACUCUCUUAUCUGUAGUCACUGAUGUCAUUAAGAGGGAUAUGAUAUCACUGAGAUGGCUUGUGACUCAUUGGAGAUAGACAUACAGCUGGGGGACAUAAUUUCACCUAGGAUUGCUCAGCCUUUUUGGCACAGGCAUCAGAAAAUGAACAAACAAAGACAGUCUUUCCAACUUUCUACCUAUUGGAGACAUGUCAUUUCCACAUUGACUUGGCUAGCACAGAACACCAGCCCAUUGCAAAAGGUUCUAGGCAUGUUCUUGGUUGCAAACUCAGUUCAUCUAGGGCACUAUGUAGGCCUAUUAAGCCUCACUGUUGGUCCUGAAGAGUGUGCUCUAGAAUUCACCAAGGAGUUCCCCAUGGCUUUGAAUUUCAGGGGGAAAGUCAGUAGUGAUUGGGAAGCUUGUCUGCUGUUACUGAUCAUCUUAACUCAGGAACCCUGGGGCUCUCCAGAACACAAACAAGCACUGACCUAUGCUUCAAAUUCAAGACCACUUACCAUAGAUUAGUUAAAUCUUUAACCAGCCUGUCUAUGACCUACUUUUACAGGUGCACCAACAAUACUCUCCCUUUUGGUUGGGCUCCCCACUGACAUAUGGAAGCAACAAUUUAUUUUAUUUUGUCCCAUCCUUCCUCCUAGGUGCUCAGGAUGGUUUCAUAGUUCGCUCUGCCCCCAUUUUAUCCUGACAACAACUCUAUGAGGUAGGUUAGGUUGAGAGGGAGAGAGCUUGAGUGUACUGUCCAGAGUCAAGCUGGUUGCCUGGCUCAAAGCACUGACGGCCAGCAUUGGUGACCCCCCCCCAUGAAGAUGUGUCAAGUAUAGUGGAGAACAGCCACAUGACCUUGCUUACCCAUGCAAUUGGAGCUUUCGAUACGUUACUGGUGGGAUAUGGACCUUUACCAUGGAGACGCCAUUUUUGGAAGCUGCCACACCACACAUAAAAACUCAAGUUGGGCCUAACUUAUAAUGUCGUUAAAGAUCAGGAAAGGACAUGGGCACUUAACUGUUUCUGAGUACAGAAUAGGGAUGGAUGGACAAAUCAGUCUAUUGCCUGCACCUGUAAAUUUCACAUUUUAUAAAAUAAAAUACACGUGUAAACUUA